rfam:Isoptericola variabilis 225, complete genome.
AACCCAUCCAGAGCGGCCGAGAGUCCUGGCUCGACGACGCCGCAGCAACCCGUUCUCCGACGGAAGCCUCCCGAGGACGAAGGUGCUCACGCCAGGUUCGAUGGAGU